rnacentral:rRNA from 1 species
GACGAGCCACCCAAACGUUAUCCGGAAUGAUUGGGCGUAAAGCGUCCGCAGGUGGCUAUGUAAGUCUGCUGUUAAAGAGUCUAGCUCAACUAGAUAAGAGCAGUGGAAACUACAAGGCUAGAGUACGUUCGGGGCAGAGGGAAUUCCUGGUGUAGCGGUGAAAUGCGUAGAGAUCAGGAAGAACACCAGUGGCGAAGGCGCUCUGCUAGGCCGUAACUGACACUGAGGGACGAAAGCUAGGGGAGCGAAUGGG